UCAGGGGAAGCAACAGAUCGUCACUCGGUGUUCUCACCGAAAGCACGUAAUCGCCGGUGUAACUCAUGUUGGCUGGGGGGCCUCCCGGCGCGCGGCGAGGCUGGGGUGCGCCCCAUGCCGCUCGCCUGUGCUCAGCUGCACGGUCCUGGCCCUCAAGUGCGCCGAGGGCGGUGAGAGAGCUCAACUCCUGCCACCCAUCACUCCCCGGGCAUCUGCAGGUCCCGGAAGGGGCUUCGUCUUACCCGGGAUCCACCUCCACUUCAUCCUCCCUGCCGGCCUCCUCACUCCACCCCCGUGCCCUUGAAGAAACCCCUUCCUCCUCGCUGCCUGCCGGGGUUCGGAGUCACUCCGCCUCGCAACCAGAGGCGUGGGGGCUGCGCCGCUGUGCACGAGUCCGCCCGCCCGCCGGGUCUUCUGGAGCUGAGGACUCGGGAAACCAUGCAGUUGAAGCGAGCCUUGGGCUGCUUAGAGGCGCUGACAUCCGAGGAGCCUUUUCCUGGGUAUGCUGCACCUUUCCCGGGCCCACCAGGCUGCCAGCGGAGCUGCAGAACUGCAGGAGAGGGGAGGCAGUGAGGAGGAGGUGGCUAGGGCCGGAGAGCUGUGGCUAAGGGGCAACACGGCUCCUCUUCUUCCUUGCAAAGCGUUGAGAGCCAGGGAUGUGCAGGGAGAAACUCAGAAGGCUCAGCGCCUUUUCUGCUACUCAUCCCACGGAAGGGACACCAGGCUAAAGAAAAGAGCCGUGCUUCCCAAACUCCCCGCUCGGUGGGUGACAAGAACGCCUUGAAAAGGCUAGGUUUGAGCCAAAGAUAGAGACAGGGGCCAUAGCUGCUUAACUAGGAGUCUAGCUUUCUUGGGAAAAGGAAAGAAAAAAAAUUAGGUGGGUGAAAAACGCUAGCCAUCCUGCAGUAUUGAAUGAUCAACGUUUGGGAGAAGUGAAAGAAGAGGGCACAGAGCAGCCAGGCAGGACUGGGGGGGGGGGGGGUUGGGAGGGGCCCAGAGGCCUCCCGCACCUAUCUUCUUGGAAGAAGCUGGAUGUCGCUGAAGGAAAGUCGAAAAAUGAAAAAGGAUAACCUUUUCCCUUUCCCCAUCCAGGAAACAGCCGAAGGUAUUUAUAUAUUGUGGGGAGAUUUAGAGUAUAAACUCUAAGAUCUUUGGUAUUUAAGUGUCAACAUCGAUUUAUUUAUUUAUUGCUGAGCUGACUGUAACUGACUCAAUAACAAAUCUAAUCAUGUAUUGCACUGGAAAAGAACUAUUCUCAUUAUGUAUUUUCUGCAAAUGAUGGCCCACCAUUGCAUUUGAAUACCCGUUGUAAAUAUCAAUAAUAUCAAGUAAUUACUCUGCAGUGGAGUAAACUAAUUUAUUAGCAGUAAUGUUUAUGUGGCUCCUACCCCCUUCCUUUACAAGCAUUGCUUAUCACAAAUCAAACUGCUCGGACACAUUGGUUUAAUGAACUCUUUAUUCAGGAUUUGCUGCAAGAACUUUCAUACCCCUUGAAUCCCUGAGAGUUGAACUUGAAAUUAUUUGUGCAUCUUCAGCUUGACAUAUUUGUCCACUGUGGCUUCUGCAGAGGGCAGCAGCGGUGUGAGUAAGAAGGUCUGGUGGGAAGGAAGGUUAUUUGGGGAAGGGCAGCCUGAGACCUCCUAAAGCUGGGAAUCACAGUUACGGGAUUGCCCUGCAGCGAAAAAACUUCGAUUUCCAGCAGUGACAAACCAGGCAAAAUAUUUUUUUUCUCCACAGCAUAUCUUUCUUGGAGACAGAAUAUAAAAGGGAGGAGGAGAGAGGUUUGUGAACAGUAGUAUCUGAGCUGUCCCCCAGCUUGAUUUUGGCUCUCCCAAACUAUCUUCCAGCAGCCCACCCAGUCCCCGCCACCCCGACCCUCAAACAAAAGGAAUGCUUGAGGGGUUUCAGUGACUUUGCCAUAACAAAGGCGCCACCAUUUCGGGGCUUGCCCCGCCCCUGGGUGAAGGCAAACAAAUUCUUGCACUUGUAUUAGGGCUUUUAAGACUAUAAUUGAACCCGGGGGCGUCUAGAAGAACCGAAAACAGUUCUAGACAGACCUGGGGUUUUAUAGCAGUUUUGGCAGUCAACUUCAGCUUGUGCCUGAGCAGACCGGCUGCGGUGGCCCACCAGCGGGGGACGCCAGGCCGCCUCCCCCAGCGGCCGCAGCCCCUCUCCUAAUUAGAUCGCUUUUCCCCUAGGUGCCAGGGAGAGGGGGUCCCCGCUGAAAGGAGGCCCAACCGCCGAACUGAGCUCACCCGGCUCAGGGGAAGACCUGACCGGUGCUAAGGCCACCCUGCAAAGCCAAGUCCGGGUCUCAUUUCUUGAAGAGAUCAAGCCGGCAAGGCUCUGACAUUGGCCCUGGCGACUGGUUGCCCAUGAACUGUUCUUUCUCAGGAGCUUCGCAGCGAGGGGGCCAUCUCCAGAAAACAGUCUUCAGCAUGUAUUUCCCUUUAUCCUCCACCUAGAGCCCCACGGCAGCUAAUGCAAAAGGCCAAAAAUGUUUUGAAGGAAGAAAAACAAAGGCAGGAAGUGGCGGCGGCCUGACGGUGCGUGUGUGUCUGCGGAGAAGGGAGGGAGCCUUUUCAAUCUCUUCUUGUUGUUUUUCCAAACUUCAAGGUCUAAGCAGCCCUCGCAGGGCCGGGCCCUGUCGCUCCCCAAGCAGCGUUUGGAGAUGGCCACCCGGAGAGGAGAAGGCUGGCGCCCGCGCCUGCCUUGUCAAGCGGAAACGGCUAACGAGGCGAUUUGCUCAGCAAAGCAGACCAAGCCUUUGCAAAGCUCCAUUUGAUUUGGCCCUAAAUUGGGGGGGGGGGGGAUGAGGGGUUCGGCAGCACCUCCCGGAUCCUCCUUGCUCGGGCUGAGUGCGCUCUGGUGGGGAUGACUCCUGCAUCCUGCUCUCCACCCACCUUCCUGGGCAAGAUACUGGAAUAAAUUGUGUCCAGGUGCCUUUGCCCAGCACUG